rnacentral:rRNA from 1 species
CAGUCGCCGCGGGAAUACGUAGGGUGCGAGCGUUAAUCGGAAUUACUGGGCGUAAAGCGUGCGCAGGCGGUUCGUUAAGACAGAUGUGAAAUCCCCGGGCUUAACCUGGGAACUGCAUUUGUGACUGACGGGCUAGAGUAUGGCAGAGGGGGGUAGAAUUCCACGUGUAGCAGUGAAAUGCGUAGAGAUGUGGAGGAAUACCGAUGGCGAAGGCAGCCCCCUGGGCCAAUACUGACGCUCAUGCACGAAAGCGUGGGGAGCAAACAGGAUUAGAUACCCGCGUAGUCCCUGUCUCUUAUAC